GACGAACGCUGGCGGCGUGCCUAAUACAUGCAAGUUGAGCGCUGAAGGUUGGUACUUGUACCAACUGGAUGAGCAGCGAACGGGUGAGUAACGCGUGGGGAAUCUGCCUUUGAGCGGGGGACAACAUUUGGAAACGAAUGCUAAUACCGCAUAAAAACUUUAAACACAAGUUUUAAGUUUGAAAGAUGCAAUUGCAUCACUCAAAGAUGAUCCCGCGUUGUAUUAGCUAGUUGGUGAGGUAAAGGCUCACCAAGGCGAUGAUACAUAGCCGACCUGAGAGGGUGAUCGGCCACAUGGGGACUGAGACACGGCCCAAACUCCUACGGGAGGCAGCAGUAGGAAAUCUUCGGCAAUGGACGAAAGGCUGACCGAGCAACGCCGCGUGAGUGAAGAAGGGUUUCGGAUCGUAAAACUCUGUUGGUAGAGAAGAACGUUGGUGAGAGUGGAAAGCUCAUCAAGUGACGGUAACUACCCAGAAAGGGACGGCUAACUACGUG
rnacentral:rRNA from 1 species